CCGGGGUAGCCAAGCAUGCUACGAGAGUUUGGGAGAGGAACAGUGGGCUGCAGCCGCCAUGGACCCUUAUCGAUGGUGUUCGCUUGUGCGUGAGGAAGCUGUCGCUCGUGUCACCGAGGGAAAUACCGCCUCAUUCUCGAUGAACUAUUCGUCGGAGUUCUCAGACCACCGCCAAACUGCCUCUCGCCAUGAUGUGGUCUCCACGACGUGAUCUCCGGUAAGUAUAGGGAACCUUUGUUUUGAUUCGCUAUCCGCUUUGCGUAGAACUUGCUAUAGAAAGGUAGCAUGCACUGGUACUCAGUUGUCGGAGCGCCUGCAGUCACGCCACCGCAUCCUGCUCACUCGCCGUCACGCGGGCGCUGCCGGAGGUAGAAGACUGAGGUAGGAGAAAGAAGACUAGUCGUUAGAUCUCCAAAUAGACGCACUGGAUUAGGUCAAAAAUAACGUUUCGCCCGGGUUAAUCCUAGCCAUCGAUCUUUGUGUUGGUGACCUAGAUCAAAAUGAAGAACACCCCUUCACCGGUUGUAUUAGAAUCGUUGGAUCACGGGUAAGCGACCGGGAUCGGAUCUGGUCAUCGUGAAUUUUGGACCGUGGAUCCUAGAUCUGGCGGCCUCAGUUUAGUACCGGUUCGGUUAGGGAUAGAUCUAAUCCACACCGUAGGUUGAGGAUCCCAUGGCCAGGGUGUGUUCAUACCCCUUCGGCUCACAAAUUUGCUAAAGAGCCCCGAGCAAAACAAUAAAACAGCCCACAGUCCACGCGUAGUAGUAAAGUAUUUUACUUAGGUCCCGAAUUAUUGUGAAUUAGACCCUGAACUUUUCCAAGAAAUCCUAGCCGCAGCUCAACAAUUCGGUUAGGUAUAUAAAAUAAAUCUGGUAAUCGGUUUUAAUAUAAAAUAAACCUAAAAACUUGUUUAUUGCAUAACUUACUCACUUUUACUCUGAAUUACUCCACUCAAGUUGUGUUAGCUUCGUAUAAAUAUUUACUACACAGUGACAACAUUAAUUAUACCAUAUCGCCUACUUUUAUAGUUAGAUAUUUAUUAACCUAUGUCUACUAGAUUAACUCUUCUAAUCAAAGCUAAAAUGUCCAUAAUUAUAAUUUGGUUAAAAUAUGAUCACUAGACAAGUUAUAAUUAAGAUUAAAGUUGAAUUAAUUAUUUUUUCAGAUUAUCUUUAUAAAAUCAACACAAGACUUAGUUUUAAUUACUUAAUCACGUGGGUCUUCCGAAAAUUAUACCUCUUUAACCAUAACUCUGAUUUUAGUAGUUCUCAAACCCACGAUCUCGUAGCAACAAUUAGAGUAUUAUUAUACAGUUUGUUCUUAUGUUUGGUGUGAUGUUAAUUUUGCCUAUAUCAUGUUUGUUUGAAUUGCUACGAAUAGCGGUGAUGUCACGAGAAUCUGAAGAUCAUCUUGGUACCUGGGAAUCUCAAGUCUAAGGCAAGUUGCUCACUUGAUUACUUUUAUUUACCCAAUAAUGUUCUCUAUAAUCAUUUUGGCAUGCAUAGGCUUAAUUUUGAUGGGACCCAAUAGGUCACCCUAGUUUGGUCAUCUUUACACCUUGUUCACCCUUGAACUUUUGGGUAGUCUUUGCUAUUGCUAUAUAUGGUUUUGGGAUCAAUAUUACAUUAUGAUCAUGUUCCAAUUAUACUGUGGUUUUAAUUAUUGUUCAUGACAAGGUUAUUAUGUUGAUUGGAACAUCGAGCUUAACUUGAGAAACACGUGCCACCACAAGGGUGGAAUGGGACGCCCUUGGCUGACUAAUUAGGAAAGCUAGUGGAGGACUAUCUUACCCGAAAGGGGCAAGGGCAGUAGGGGAGUAGGCGUGUAGGGAGGUUCUCGGGUUGACUUUGCUGCGAUGGCGGUCAGACGGGGGAUUCCUGCAUUGCUCUUACUAGAAACUGUAGCGGGUUUUCUGAAGCUAGUGAAACUUUGUAAAGGCCUCGUAGUGUUACCCUGCCUCGUCUCCUCGGUAGAGGUGAAUGGGACUUCUAGACCCCUUGCUAACCGAGUGACAUGACUUGUGGGUAAAGGGUACCACCUCUACAGAGUGUAAAACUGGUAUACUAGCCGUGCUCGCGAGCAGCUCAGGACUCUCGCAUGAUUAGUUUAUGGAAUUAAAUUCAAUUUGUCAUUUGCAUCGCAUUGUUAUUUAUUAUUAUUUUUGAUAUAUUAUUACUCUGGUUUGGUAUCUACUUAUACUUAGUAACUACUAAUAAAAUUUUGACCAACAUUAAAAGCGAUGCUCCACUUUAACCAUCCUCUUUGGUAAGCCUUACACUUAACCUGAGCUCCCACAUUUGGCGAGUUCAUACACAUUAUUCCCCACAACUUGUUGAGCGAUGAACGUAUGUGAGCUCACCCUUGUUGUCUCACACCCCCCACAGGUCAAGAACAGGUACCGCAGGAUGAGGCACAUAGAGGAUGUUGUGAUGAGUUCGUGAGAGGUUUAGGUCGUCGUCUACCAGCCAACUUUGGGUUGCUAGAUCGUUGUCUCCAUAUGAUGUAAUUAUUUAUUUUACACAGAACUCCUAUUAUAUAGUAAAGAUGUGACAUUCGUUUAUGUAGCAUAAGUCAUCAUAUGUGUGAGACUUGGUCCCACCACACUUGAUGAUUAUGUUCGCGGCCGGGUCUUGGUGCCCCCGAAACCUGGGUGUGACAACGUUUCCUAUAGCCUGGUAAUCUCUAUGUCCUUAGAGGCUCGAGAACAAGACAAUUGUGAGGAUGAUCAUACAAUCCGUCGUCCUAGACGUCUCAACUCCCUAGAGUAGAGUCAAAUGUACCCAACCUACAUUUGUGAACCAUAGCCUCGAACAAUCACAAAAAUAUGGGCAGCAACAUCAGAAACUGUCCAGAUUUUAAAGAUUAUAUUGUUUGACAAAAUUAAACCUAGAAUCAGUUCUCAGUAAUUAUAAGAAAGUUGUAGUAUAUUUUAUAGGCUUUCCAGAAAGUUAUGGAUUACUAUUUUUUGUGGUCUAAAUCUUCAGUAAUAGUUGUUUGAAGAAGGAGGACUGAAUCUAUGCAAAUCUGGACAGAUGCACCUUCCUUGUAUUGUUUGCCUUUGUUAAGUAUUGAACCAGCCCAAGAUGUUUAUAAAUAUUUUGUAGGCAAUUUUAUUAGCUUUCCAAAAAGUUUUGAAUCACAUGUCUUGGAUGUUUAAAUCUCUAGUUAUGGUCAAAACAAGCACGUGUUGUGUUGCUGUCCAGAAUCUGGAAAUGCGUAGUUAAUCACUUGAACUUGCUUUUGUUUGGCUAAGUAGGUUUAGCGAGUUCUUAAUUGGCAAACACUUGUAGUUGUUAUACUUAAGUUAGCAUGUGUCCUUAAUUGAUAUGGUUGCCAUUUCCUGCGUUAUGUGUGUAUGCGAAUUAAGUAUAAGUCGUGUACCCAUGCCUUAGGUGGUGUUAGAUUCAUGUGCCGAUGGUGUAUGCAUAGCUAGGCCACUUACUUUGUCGAUUCUGGUCCUUAAUGUUGAAGAGGGAGAAAUUAGAGGCCAAAGCAACUGGAUCAAUGACCACUUGAGUUUUAAAAAUAUUUUGAGCUUUAAAACAUGUAUUUUGAUUCAAACCCCUCUUGAUAUCAAAGAGGAGACCUCUUAUUGUGAAAACUGAAAUUAUACUUGUGAGAAAAGGGGAAAUUAGUGUUUGAUCAAAACAAGUUCCUUCAAACAGGUUUAAUUUGCAAAACUCAAGUGUUUUUCACUUAGUAGUAAGAAAAGGUUGAAAAUGGCUUUGUUUGCAAAAUCAAAAGCAAGUGGUGGCUAAAUGUUCCAAAUAUGCCAAAUCAUUUGAGAACUUCAUUUAGUCGAGUUCGAACUUCAAUUUGCAACUUUUGUCUCAUACUGCUUUUAAUUAGUCAUAUUCUAGUAGCUUUAGUUGUGUUGGCAUACAUUACCAAAAAAGAGGGAGAUUGAAAGGGAAAUGGGCUAGAUAGCUAUUUCUACAUGUUUUGGUGAUUUAAUGUCCAACACACUAUCAUGGACUAACUUAUGUGAUAAGUGUAUGAUAUCAAUUUCAUUGUUAUGCAAUUUGAAGGUUUCAAGUCUAAAAGAGUUUUAAAAAGGGUGACUAGAAAUGCAGCUUUGAGUAAAAUGGUAAAUCUGUGAGGCUUGCACCCUUAGACAUGUUGCAUAGGCCUAUUACAAUGUUUCUAGCACUUGCAUUUGAUCUCUUACUUUUUUCGCAAAAAGUGCCUUUUGGACUUUGUUUGGGUGGUUUGUGUCAAAAUAGGAACUCUAAUGAAAAUAUGUGAAAGAGGUAGGUUUCAUACACUUAAUCAAUUGGAUUAUGUACUAACUAUGCUUUUCUAAGUCAUAGGAAAGCUCACAAGAAAGGCCAAAUCAAAUGAAAGGAGUUAGGCUCAAAAGCACCUAAUUUGGGCUGCUCCGGGCAUCACCAAACUGGUCUGGUGAUGCACUGGACCGAGUCUAUGAAGUGCCCAGACUUGGGCUUUUGGCGGCCUGACGCACAGGACCGGGUUCGCGUGCGCCGGACCGCGUCUAUGGCUAAACAAUCGACUCUCAUGAUUUUUAUUUAUAAAAUCUCUGGAGCGGUACUAUGCGUGGUCCGGUGGUGCACCAGAUCGCAUGGUAACGACUAGCUCCAGGCGUCCAAUAGCUACUUCAUGGGGAGGCAACAUGUGGUGGUCUGGUGGUACACGGACCUGGUCCGGUGCCCCCCACCCCAAUUUGGAAGGAUACAGUCAGGAUCCUAGAGGCCACUCCCUGUUCCCGGUCCGGUGGCACACCUGACCAAUCCGGUGCCCUCGAGAACAACAAAUUUUUGCAUGGAAGGAGCAAUGGCUAUGGAGGCUCUUUGGCUAAAAGGACCCCCUAGGCGACCUCCUUCACUCACCCAAGCACCCCCAAGAGCAAUACUUCACUCCCAUACUUUGCAACAACGUGUUUGUGACAUUCUAGUGAGAUCUAGGCAUCGUUCUGAGUUGUUUGUCUUUCUAUGAGAGCGGUGUGUGGCAAUGUUCGUUCUUGUGUUGUAUUGUUGCGUGUUUUCUCUUGUGUGUGUACUUUAUCCCCUCUCUUUUGUUGUGCUUCGAGUUGUAACUCAGAUUGUUGUGUACGACUGCAAGAGGCUCCAAUUUAUAGAGAUUCCUUGCGAGGGGAUUACUAUUGAUAUAAGGAAGACCAUGACACUCAAGUAGAUCAUUGGAUCACUUGAGAGGGGUUGAGUGCAACUCUUGUCCAUUAGGACACCACAACAUGGAGAAGGCAAGCAUUUGAGUCUUGACCGAACAACAGGAAAAAUCACUAUGUCACUUGUGCUUAAUUUUUUGUGAUUGUUCUUCCUCUCUGUAUGUUCUAUCUUUCAGUUGCAAUAUUGCUCUUAGUUUAUUACAUAUCUUGAAAGAGGAAUCAAGUGAAGAGAACUUCUCUCUUUUUCUCAUUACAACUUGGUCCUAUUUUGCACUAACUCUUAAUUUGGACCAACUCCGUGUUUGAUGUUGUGUUUUGCAGGCAUCACCUAUUCACUCCUCUCUAGGUGACUCCUAGUAAUGAACUAGGUGAGUGCCCGUGCGUUGCUACGGUUUUUAUAUAUAUCAUAUAGAUAGACCUCGUUUAAAUGACACACUUAUUCAAACACAAUUAUAUUUUUUAUUUUAAUUUUUUAAUAUUUUUUACAAUUUCAAUUCUUUAAUAACCAAACUGAAUCUGCAGUACAGUGGCCGAGCAGUAUAUAUUUGGCGAGGUGACACCAAAACAACAAGCAAGUAGAUGCAUCCCAAAUGGUAAAACAAUAAAAUACAAAUGGUAAUUUAAAAGUUCAGCCACACAAUAUUAUGUACAUAACAGUAGUGAAAGUUAGGCACACCUAAAUAUGUAGUACAACUGAACAUUGUGACGCUCCAACGACAUGUAAAUACAUUUAGCAAUUCAACAUAAUAGUGGAGAGUGAACACUGUUUCAAUAAUAAUCAACCUAGUCACCGAUUUAAGAGUGCACAUAUAACUUAAAACAGUGGAUAAACAUAUAUGGUGCAUGAAGAUAUUAUCUUAAAAUACUCCUUUUGGUUCAAUUGAAUCUGUUUUUUGCUUCAUGAGUUCCAUCAACUGAAGGACCCUUUCAGGUUUACCACCCUUAUUAAAUGCUUCCAUCAGGGAUGAAUAGACAAUAUAGCAUCUGGUUGUGUGCCAUUACAUUCCAUCUCUGAAUAGGUCACAUGGUCUCGUCCAGCUCCCUUAUGAGUUAUGAUCAUAUGGAACACGAGAUUAAAUAAUAAUUUAAAACUACUGAAAUAUUUUAUCAUCCAAAGAUUCUUACCAUCAUCAUUAUAGGCUUUAAUCAAUGUCGUAAAUGUCAACACAUCAGUGAAGCAACCAGAUUCACUCAGAAUUAAAAGUAGAUGCUGCUUCAAUUAGUUUGCACUGAAUUAAAGCCAUUGUUAGAAUACUAAUUCUUUACAGUGAGCCAGAGAGAUAAUCCAACAACAUUUGCCUGUUUGACAUAUGAGAAAUCACGAACCAGUAGACUUCCUUGGUCAAAUGAAUUUUUAGGUCCAUCAUGUCUUCAAAAAAUUGCAGACACUCUACAUUCCUUCCCCAUUUACAAGAUCCACUAAAGAGUAUAUUGUAAGUCACAAUAUCUAGUUUCACAUUGUCUGCCCUCAUUUCACAUUGUCUGCCCUCAUUGGGACAUACCUUUCCCCAUAUAUAAAAAUGACAAUCAUUGGGACAUACCAAAAUUUUUAUCAGAAGGUAAACAAAAUAUUAAAAUAACAAUAACUAACAUGGUAUCUCUACGUACCUCUACUGAUCGAGGUCGAGUUUUUUUGUAUGAAAUAGUUGUAUGGGUUUGUUCUUUUUUCUAUAAUGAUACACAACUGUCUUUUCGAUUCUAGGUACGUCUAUCCAGUCAUAGAAAAGCUCACCGAACAGAUAUUGAAAUAUAUGGAGAUUGCUAACAUAAUCGAUAAAUAAAACAAGUAUAAAAAUAAAAGAUUUAUAUGCAUCAUAUCAGCAAUCACAUGUUACGGGUAAAAGAGAGUAAUUCUAUGCAAAUAAAAUCCAUGGAUGCUGCUACAAAGGGGGGAACAAAAUAUCUACAUAGUAACUUCAUCCUCAUUUGAUCUGCUCUAUUUCAGUGCAUCUUGGGAACACAAUCGGCACCAUAGAUGAUUGAAUUAGUGAUAACCAGAGAGGGGGCAGGCUGGAGCAUGGUGUACCGUGAGCUAACAGGGAAGUUGUUGAUGGCACCAUGUUGGCAUGUUCAUUUUAGAAACAUGAUUUUUUCCAGAUUUUAACAUU
rnacentral:lncRNA from 1 species